UACGUAGGGUGCGAGCGUUGUCCGGAAUUAUUGGGCGUAAAGAGCUUGUAGGCGGUCUGUCGCGUCGGCUGUGAAAAUCCGGGGCUCAACCCCGGACUUGCAGUGGGUACGGGCAGACUAGAGUGUGGUAGGGGAGACUGGAAUUCCUGGUGUAGCGGUGAAAUGCGCAGAUAUCAGGAAGAACACCAACGGCGAAGGCAGCUCGCUGGGACGGUACUGACGCUGAGACGCGAAAGCGUGGGGAGCGAACAGG
rnacentral:rRNA from 1 species